UCAUGUGUUCUUUUUUCUAUGUUCCCCGUUCUCCACGCUGUUGUUGCGUGUGCCAAAACGACGCCAUUGUCGAUCGAACAUCCAACGUCAAUCAUUUCAAAGAGCUACAAGUUAGCAACGAUAGCAAAACACAAACAAAAGGACUUUUCAAGAACAACGACAAUCUUCUUUACCGAGGGCAGGAAAACAACUCGGAAACGAAAUAAAAGGGUUAUUUUCCACGAAACAGUCGUAACUGGCGAAACCCUCGAAAAUGACUGAAAACCCUAGAAGCAAAAUACCACCCCCUUACUUUUGUUUCUGAUCUUUCUUCAACCCCUGUAAAUGUUACAACAAAAGACCUUAGGGGACAUCGGAGAAAAUGGUGAGGAGAACGAAACAUGUCUGUUCGCUUUAAAGAUAAUUUUCUAUUCUAUUUUGUCAAAAGUAAAAGACAAAAGAUAAACCUACCUGAAGGUGCAAAGAAGGUCAAAAUAAAAAAGAAGAAAACAAUAAAAAAAAAAAACCGGACAGGAAGGGCAAAAGGAAACAAGGACUAAGGUCAACGUCAGGUGUCUGCCCAAACCCCACCAAGACGCAGGAGCCUAAGGGACGCCGGGGACACUACUAGUCGCACCCAGAGAACUUUCAACACUACGUCUACCACCACUUUCUCAUCUUACGAGCCGCCCUUUUCUCAGUCUUCCCGAAAGCGCACGCUCUCCUUCUCAAUUAUUGAUCGCGGCCUUUUGGAAAGAGAAUCCCUUUAAAUCGGCUGGUGAACGGCGCCUGCGCAAAGCACAUCACGUGCGCUAUCGUUUGAUCGAUGACGUAUUAAGACUUUCAACUCAUCACGUACCACGUUUUUCCCCUCUUUCUACGAUCCGUCUCAGAAACAAAUCCCCGGCUAAACAUCUAGCGCCACAAGCCCCAACGUCUUGGCCACGAAACAAAAGAAUUGAGUGACUACGAUAAAAUAUUUUAAUUAAAAAUAUGAUAAAAUGGAAAUAAAGGAUCAAGACAUUAAAUUUGGCGACAGGUAGUGUGACAAGGCGUGUCGCUACGUGAUUCACACCUCACGUGACUGGUGGAAUCAAGCGGAUUUGAAAUGGAACCCAAACAAAAGUUCCAAGGAGAAACCCAGCAAAGUUAUGAAACUGCAGUAACGCCAUUAGCAAGUAACCCGUGGUGCAACAAUUCGCUGAUUCAAUUAGUAAAUUUCACGUGACGUUUUGUUUUGAUCCGACUCCCUAGUUGAUUUUCGAUCGUUGUUUUCAUGCCUCGUUUACCCUAACAAAACCUGAACGAGCCACGUGAGACGGCGUUAUUAGCCAACAACGUAUCAAGGAUACAAAUACGUGACGUCCCAAGUUGUUCGUUAAAGCAAAAUUUCGGGCUAAAACUAGCUUCUCGCUUUUGUUUGUUACCCAAAAGUCAUUUAAAAGUCGUCAACAUGCUACGUCAAGUCUACGCAAACACCGUGACCAGGAAAAUUGCAAUAAAGACAUGAUUUUCAGAAAA